GGCCGCCUGGCCGCGGGAUUUCCGUAGGUGANACCUGCGGAAGGAUCAUUGACACCAAUCCAAUACCAACCCUGUGAACUGUUCCGUCUUUUUAUUAACCCUUUUAACAGUACAUUUCUGAUCUAGUGCAGCGAAAGCAGCACAAAAUCAAAUCAUUACAACUCUUAACAAUGGAUAUCUUGGUUCUCGCAACGAUGAAGAACGCAGCGAAAUGCGAUACGUAAUGUGAAUUGCAGAAUUAAGUGAAUCAUCAAAAUUUUGAACGCAUAUUGCGCUGUUAGCUCAGCUACCAGCAUGCCUACGUCAGUGUCGGCUCCCAAACCUCACCCCCAAAGGUGGAUUUGAGUGUUUCAGUCUCUUAGACCGAAUCACUUGAAGUGAAGUGGCUGGGUAUUGCAUUAAGCAACAAGCCCAACUAGUGUGUUAAGCUCCCGUCAGGGACGACACCACUAGCAGGUGCAAGUUUGCGCAAAACUCAUGCCUGUGCAAGGAAAUCACUCAAGCCUCGACCUGACAUUAGGUAAGACUACCCGCUGAAUUUAAGCAUAUCAAU
rnacentral:rRNA from 1 species